GACGAACCGUGCAAACGUUAUUCGGAAUCACUGGGCAUAAAGGGCGCGUAGGCGGCUUUCUAAGUCAGGGGUGAAAUCCGGCAGCUCAACUGUCGCAGUGCCUUUGAUACUGGAGAGCUCGAGGGAGGUAGGGGUCUGUGGAACUUCCGGUGGAGCGGUGAAAUGCGUUGAUAUCGGAAGGAGCGCCGGUGGCGAAAGCGACGGACUGGAUCUCUUCUGACGCUGAGGCGCGAAAGCCAGGGGAGCAAACGGG
rnacentral:rRNA from 1 species